rnacentral:rRNA from 1 species
CCUACGGGGGCAGCAGUGGGGAAUAUUGGACAAUGGGCGAAAGCCUGAUCCAGCCAUGCCGCGUGUGUGAAGAAGGCCUUCGGGUUGUAAAGCACUUUCAGUGGGGAAGAAAGCCUUGGGGCUAAUACCCUCGAGGAAGGACAUCACCCACAGAAGAAGCACCGGCUAACUCCGUGCCAGCAGCCGCGGUAAUACGGAGGGUGCGAGCGUUAAUCGGAAUUACUGGGCGUAAAGCGCGCGUAGGCGGUCUGAUAAGCCGGUUGUGAAAGCCCCGGGCUCAACCUGGGAACGGCAUCCGGAACUGUCAGGCUAGAGUGCAGGAGAGGAAGGUAGAAUUCCCGGUGUAGCGGUGAAAUGCGUAGAGAUCGGGAGGAAUACCAGUGGCGAAGGCGGCCUUCUGGACUGACACUGACGCUGAGGUGCGAAAGCGUGGGUAGCAAACAGGAUUAAUACCCUGGUAGUC